rnacentral:rRNA from 1 species
GGAGUCUACACAUGCAGUCGAGGGGCAGCGCGGGUAGCAAUAUCUGGCGGCGACCGGCGGACGGGUGAGGAGCGCGUGCGCAACCUGCCUUUUGCUGCGGCAUAACCCAAAGAAAUUUGGACUAAUACCGCAUAAUACAUAUUGGCGGCAUCGCUAUUAUGUUAAAGAUUUAUCGGCAAAAGAUGGGCGCGCGUAUCAUUAGGUAGUUGGUGGGGUAAUGGCUCACCAAGCCUUCGAUGAUUAGGGGUUCUGAGAGGAUUAACCCCCACACCGGCACUGAGACACGGGCCGGACUCCUACGGGAGGCAGCAGUGAGGAAUAUUGGACAAUGGAGGCAACUCUGAUCCAGCCAUCCCGCGUGCAGGACGAAGGUCCUAUGGAUCGUAAACUGCUUUUUUACGAGAGCAAAAAGGGGCAUGCGUGCCUUUCUGAGAGUAUCGUAAGAAUAAGCAUCGGCUAACUCCGUGCCAGCAGCCGCGGUAAUACGGAGGAUGCGAGCGUUAUCCGGAUUUAUUGGGUUUAAAGGGUGCGUAGGCGGAAUGCUAAGUCAGCGGUGAAAUUUUGGGGCUUAACCCCACACGUGCCGUUGAUACUGGCGUUCUUGAGGGCAAGUGAGGCUGGCGGAAUGUGCAGUGUAGCGGUGAAAUGUUUAGAUAUUGCACAGAACACCGACUGCGAAGGCAGCUGGCUAACUUGCAUCUGACGCUGAGGCACGACAGCGUGGGGAGCAAACAGGAUUAGAUACCCUGGUAGUCCACGCCGUAAACUAUGAAUGCUCGCUGUUUGGCGCUAUGCGUUGAGCGGCUAAGAGAAAUCGUUAAGCAUUCCACCUGGGGAGUACGACCGCAAGGUUGAAACUCAAGGAAUUGACGGGGCCCGCACAAGCGGAGAACAUGUGGUUUAAUUCGAUGAUACGCGAGAACCUUACCCGGGCUGAAAUAGAUGGAAUAGCGUGAAAGCCGUGACAUCAGACAUUCUGUAGUGCCGCAUGUGUCGUCA